ACAAGAGGAGGGUAGAGGACGUCUGAACUGCUACGCCAUCUUGGAAACAUAACAUAACACUUUUACCGUAAAGAGUGUUGUGAUUUUAAAUGCACUUCAAUUCAAAUUUGUUUUGACUUAUGCCCUAACAGUGUGUGGUUUUGUGUUCUCCACGUCAGUGUGGCUCGGCAGAGUACAUGGCCCCAGAGGUGGUGGAGGUAUUCACAGAAGAGGCUUCGUUCCACGUCAAGCCCUGUGCCCUCUGGAGCCUGGGGUCAUACUUUAUAUUCUGCUGAGUGGCAGCCCCCCCUUCACCGACCACUGUGGGACUGACUGUGGCUGGGACCGAGGAGAGACCUGCCACAUCUGCCAGGGACACAAACAUAGUAAUAACUUGUUUGAGAGCAUGCAGGAGGUGCAGUAUGAGUUCCCAGAGAGGGACUGGGCCCAUAUCUCUGCCCAGACCUCAUCUCCAGGCUACUGGCACGGGACGCCACACGCCUCAGUGCUGCCCAGGUCCUGCAGCACCCCUGGGCGCAGGGGAAUGCACCAGAGAGAGGUCUCGCAACUCCACACUUCCUCCGAAGCAGCACCAAAGACUUAACACAGUUUGCGGCUGAUGCCAUCGCCUUCAACCGCCAGUUGUCGCAGCACGACGAGGAGCAGGAGGAAAUCGUCACCAACAUCGUGACCUCCAUGAGCCUCUCACGCCCCUCCAAUUUCUGUCUGGCUCGCCAACGGGCGCAAUCCAACGCCCAGCGCACCACCUGGGACUUCCUGUCUUCUGACAACGACAACAUCGACACCUGACCAGAACCUAGUUUAACCCAAGGGAGACUGCUACCAUAGAAUAGGAUGAAUAGAACGAGCUUGGAACCUCUAACCCUGGCAAUUUCACUGGUAAUCGUAUGGGUACAGUGCCUUGCAAAAGUAUUCAACCCCCU